rnacentral:lncRNA from 1 species
AUGGACAUCGAUGUUGAGGUCGUAGUCGCCUCACGUCGACGUCGCCGUUUUAAAAACGAGGGUGCUCGCCAACCACCUGGAUCGUCUGCUCUGCUGGCGUGGUGGAUUCAUACCGCAAAUGGAGUGGUCGAUCGAGAUAAGAUCGUCAAAGUGGUGGGCGGGUUUGACCGACGGGAGGACGCUUUGACCGAGGUGGGAGGGGGGUUUUGGGCCCUAGGGAGGGUGGGGGAGGUGGGUUUGACCCAUGGGAGAGGGGGUGUAGAAUAGUUUUUCUAGG